CCUAGUAGCGGCGAGCGAAGCGGGAAGAGCUCAAAUUUAUAAUCUGGCACCUUCGGUGUCCGAGUUGUAAUCUCUAGAAGUGUUUUCCGCGUUGGACCGCACACAAGUCUGUUGGAAUACAGCGGCAUAGUGGUGAAACCCCCGUAUAUGGUGCGGACGCCCAGCGCUUUGUGAUACACUUUCAAUGAGUCGAGUUGUUUGGGAAUGCAGCUCAAAUUGGGUGGUAAAUUCCAUCUAAAGCUAAAUAUUGGCGAGAGACCGAUAGCGAACAAGUACCGUGAGGGAAAGAUGAAAAGCACUUUGGAAAGAGAGUUAACAGUACGUGAAAUUGUUGGAAGGGAAACGCUUGAAGUCAGACUUGCUUGCCGGAGCUUGCUUCGGUUUGCAGGCCAGCAUCAGUUUUCCGGGGUGGAUAAUGACGGUUUGAAGGUAGCAGUCUCGGCUGUGUUAUAGCUUUCCGUUGGAUACGCCCUGGGGGACUGAGGAACGCAGCGUGCUUUUUGCGAAAGACUCGUCUGUCACGCUACGAUGCUG
rnacentral:rRNA from 1 species